GUCUGUAGGCGGUUUGGAAAGUCUUUUGUGAAAUUCUUCAGCUCAACUGGGGGUCCGCAAAAGAAACUUCUAGGCUUGAGGGAAGUAGAGGUACAGGGAAUUUCCGGUGGAGCGGUGAAAUGCGUAGAUAUCGGAAGGAACACCAAUAUGGCGAAGGCACUGUACUGGGCUUUACCUGACGCUAAGAGACGAAAGCUAAAGGAGUGAUUAGGAUUAGAUACCCUAGUAAUUUUAGCCGUAAACGAUGGAAACUCACUGCCGAGCCGGUAUUCGGAGCGGUGGUCAAGCUAACGCGUGAAGUUUCCCGCCUGGGGACUACGCAUGCAAAUGUGAAACUCAAAGGAAUUGACGGGGACCCGCACAAGCGGUGGAGUAUGUGGUUUAAUUCGAUGCAACGCGAAAAACCUUACCAAGGUUUGAAAUCAUUUCAAAACUCUUUGAAAGAAGAGCCUCCUUCGGGAUGGAAUGACAGGUGGUGCAUGGCUGUCGUCAGCUCGUGUUGUGAAAUGUCAAGUUAAGUCUUGUAACGAGCGCAACCCAUGUCUUUUGUUGCUGUUUACAGUGCUUAAAAGAGACUGCCGCUCUACAGCGGAGGAAGGUGUGGAUGAUGUCAAGUCAGCAUGCCCCUUAUAUCUUGGGCUACACACGUACUACAAUGGUAGGGACAAUGAGUCGCAAACCUGCGAAGGCUAGCCAAUCUCAAAAACCCUAUCUCAGUUCGGAUUGUACUCUGCAACUCGAGUGCAUGAAGGUGGAAUCGCUAGUAAUCGCUGGUCAGCAUACAGCGGUGAAUACGUUCCCGGGUCUUGUACACACUGCCCGUCACACCAUGGAAGUCGAUCCUUCCCUAAGUCGUUACUCGAACCUUUUAGGACGAGGAU
rnacentral:rRNA from 1 species